AUUGAACGCUGGCGGCAUGCUUUACACAUGCAAGUCGAACGGUAACAGGCCUUCGGGUGCUGACGAGUGGCGAACGGGUGAGUAAUGCAUCGGAACGUACCCAGAGGUGGGGGAUAACGCAGCGAAAGCUGUGCUAAUACCGCAUGUGAUCUGAGGAUGAAAGCGGGGGACCGAGCAGCAAUGUUUGGCCUCGCGCCUUUGGAGCGGCCGAUGUCGGAUUAGCUAGUUGGUGGGGUAAGGGCCUACCAAGGCGACGAUCCGUAGCUGGUCUGAGAGGACGACCAGCCACACUGGGACUGAGACACGGCCCAGACUCCUACGGGAGGCAGCAGUGGGGAAUUUUGGACAAUGGGCGCAAGCCUGAUCCAGCAAUGCCGCGUGCGGGAAGAAGGCCUUCGGGUUGUAAACCGCUUUUGGCAGGAACGAAACGGUGUGCGCUAAUACCGGGCGCUAAUGACGGUACCUGCAGAAUAAGCACCGGCUAACUACGUG
rnacentral:rRNA from 1 species